GUUGGAUAUUAUGCGUAAUGCCUAUGAUAUUCUUUCUCACUGUGAGAUCAAACUUCCAAAGAUUGAAGGUAAUGAGAAGUAUGUUGACUCUGGGCCUCCAUUUCUAAUUCUUCUCCAUCCUGCUCUAGGCCCCCUUUGGGAAGUAAUCAGACAGAAGUUCUAUCGAGGUUCUAUCUCUAAGGGUUCAGAGUUGCUAAUAGAGGUUGCUGAGUUCUUGUGGAGAGAUGUGCAGCUUGAUGGGAGUUUGAUCAUUUUAGCUGAGAAUGUUCUAGGUUCUCCAAGGAUCGAUGAAAAUGGUGAAACUGUUCUUCACUAUGGAAAAAGGUGUGGGAGAUGUAAGCUGGAGAAUGUCAAGAUAUUGAAUGAUGGAAUUGAUUGGAAUGCAAGAGAAAAUUUAUACUGGAAGCACGAUGUGCAGCGGUUUGAGGCAGUUAAGGUUAUACUUCACGGAAAUGCUGAAUUUGAAGCAGUGGAU
rnacentral:misc_RNA from 1 species